GAUGAACGCUGGCGGCGUGUUUAACACAUGCAAGUCGAGCGAGAAGUUUUGAAAAGAUUCUUCUGAUGAAAUUUAAAAUGGAAAGCGGCGGACGGGUGAGUAACGCGUAGGCAACCUGCCCCAUACAAAGGGAUAGCAUUUGGAAACGAAUAUUAAUACCUUAUGAAACUUAACUAGUGCAUGCUAGGUAGGUCACAGAUUUAUCGGUGUGGGAUGGGCCUGCGUCUGAUUAGCUAGGUGGCGAGGUAACGGCUCACCAAGGCGACGAUCAGUAGCCGACCAAAGAGGGUGAGCGCCCAACUUGGAAGUGAGACACGGGUCGAAAACAUACGGGAGGGAGCGGUGGGGAAUAUUGCACAAAGCGGGAAAGCCUGAUGCAGCAACGCGGCGUGAAGGAUGAAGGCCUUUGGGGAGUAGAGUUCUGUUAUAGGUGAGGAAAACUGACGGUAACCAAGGAGAAAGCACCGGCUAACUCCGUG
rnacentral:rRNA from 1 species